GCAUCUCUGCCCUGGAGCCUCAGCGCCAUGGCCCAACCCUCCCUCUGUGGGCUGGGCCUUUCAGGACUACAUCUGUGAGCACUGUGCUGAGUAGCAAAGACCUGAGAGAAGCCCCGACAGCAUCCUGUCCACAAGGAAGAUUCCUCAUCUUGACUGCAGCCUGCUCUCCCUUCAAUAGAGAGAGACAAGAUCCCUACCUCGUGCCAUGGGGCCCAGAGGAGACAAGAUUAAUGGAUGGGUAAUAUGUUGGGCAACGUGCAGUGGGGCUGUUUGGCACGUCCCUUUAUCUUUCUGUCGCUUGGGUGACGCCUUAUACAGAACUAAGGGACACACAGCUGCCUGGGCUGGUGAUUGCCUUGAUUUUCACUAAAUCCUUUCUACCGUGAUCACUGCCGGCGAGCAGCUCUUCUGAACUCUUCCAGCAUCUGGAACAGCCUGGACCGGCAGAAACACCCACAGAUGUAAUUAGCCCAGGAAGCUGAGCUGCGUCACCUCACACGGGUUCUGAAGCUCCGGUGUUUGCUGCCCCUUGCUCAUUCCCACGCGUAUUUUUAAGCCUUCCUGCCUGGCUGCCUGGCUUGAGGUAUCCCUGGGGCUCAAGUGAUGUGUGUUGACAUUCUCCCGAAGUUACAGAAGUCCUUAAUGAUCCAAAUUUAAAAUAUCAUCUCCCCAGACAGAUAGAUUGGUGGUGAUCUGCCUCUGGACUAGAUUGGUUCAAAUUAAAUUUGACCUAAGGAGGCCUCCGGAGGGGUGCCUAGGUCAGACUUUGCAGCCUGGUGUGGCCAACUAAGCCUAGUGGCUCUAUAACAAAAGCAGGCCUGGCUGCUGCUGGCCCAACCAAUCACAGGCAGAGGUUGGACUCAAGCCAGCCUCAGAUCUUGCUCAGGAGAUCUGCACGGUCCCCAUCACUGUGCCUCCAUCCGGCUGGAUUUCCAGGGCAUGCUGCCUGACAGAACUGGGAACCUUUCUGAGGGAUGCCUGGGCCAAGCGUCAGAGGAGCUGAGGACCCAGGCACACCUGCUCUCACUUUGUCUUCAGGAAUUGAUUUUUAACCUUCUUUCUUGGGGGGGGGGGGUUACAUGUGUGUGGUUCGUGCACACACUUAUGUGUUCCAGCCUAUGUGUUUGAAGAGACCAGAGGAAGCCCUUGGGCAUUCUA